GAUGAACGCUGGCGGCGUGCCUAAUACAUGCAAGUCGAGCGAACGGACGAGAAGCUUGCUUCUCUGAUGUUAGCGGCGGACGGGUGAGUAACACGUGGAUAACCUACCUAUAAGACUGGGAUAACUUCGGGAAACCGGAGCUAAUACCGGAUAAUAUUUUGAACCGCAUGGUUCAAAAGUGAAAGACGGUCUUGCUGUCACUUAUAGAUGGAUCCGCGCUGCAUUAGCUAGUUGGUAAGGUAACGGCUUACCAAGGCAACGAUGCAUAGCCGACCUGAGAGGGUGAUCGGCCACACUGGAACUGAGACACGGUCCAGACUCCUACGGGAGGCAGCAGUAGGGAAUCUUCCGCAAUGGGCGAAAGCCUGACGGAGCAACGCCGCGUGAGUGAUGAAGGUCUUCGGAUCGUAAAACUCUGUUAUUAGGGAAGAACAUAUGUGUAAGUAACUGUGCACAUCUUGACGGUACCUAAUCAGAAAGCCACGGCUAACUACGUGCCAGCAGCCGCGGUAAUACGUAGGUGGCAAGCGUUAUCCGGAAUUAUUGGGCGUAAAGCGCGCGUAGGCGGUUUUUUAAGUCUGAUGUGAAAGCCCACGGCUCAACCGUGGAGGGUCAUUGGAAACUGGAAAACUUGAGUGCAGAAGAGGAAAGUGGAAUUCCAUGUGUAGCGGUGAAAUGCGCAGAGAUAUGGAGGAACACCAGUGGC
rnacentral:rRNA from 1 species